AAAUGGUUUGUCCUUUAUUAAAAGCUAAUAAUUGCUAAAGUAGUAAUAGUUAUGUUCUUGAACUUAAAAAAUUUGGCGGUAUUUUAGUCUAUCUAGAGUAACCUGUUUUUUAAUCGAUAAUCCACGAUGGACCUUACUUAAAUUUGUAAUCAGUUUAUAUACCGUCGUUAUCAGAAUAUUUUAUAAGAAUAAUAAUAUUCAAUAAUUUUAAUAAAAAUUUAUAUCAGAUCAAGGUGUAGCUUAUAUUUAAGUAAUAAUGGGUUACAAUAAAUUUAUUUAUAUGAAUAAAAUUAUGAAAAAAUUUUUGAAAGUGGAUUUAGUAGUAAAAUUAUAAAGAUUAAUAAUUUGAUUUAGCUCUAAAUAUGUACACAUCGCCCGUCGCUCUUAUAUUAAGGAAGAAAUCGUACUAUA
rnacentral:rRNA from 1 species